AAAAAUAAACCUUUGGAGAACCCAUUGAUGUGGAGAUUAUAGGAAGCCUGAGAGAUGCUCAAGCUUUUUCUCGUAAUCAUGCUCACAAAGACACUGGUAAUUGAGAGUUGAUACAUGAAUUUUAGCAUUCUUUGUAUAGAAAUUAUGUUAUCAGUACUAUUGCAGCUGGACUUGAUGGAAUUCGUUUAGCUAUUUCUACUGCCACUCGUUUAGCUAUAUUGAUAUUGAUUCCUCUCCCACAUCGGUGACUGUCUCUGGCCAGAUUAUUUUAUGAGGUGGUGAAAAAGAUCGUUAUGGGGAAAAAGAUUGGAGCAUGUAUUUAGUAGAAAGUCUAAAUUAAGGGUUAACAGUGUGUGCUACUUCACUUUCUGUAACUAGAACUUUGGAAAGUUAAAUUAGUUAUGACCUAAUUAUAUGAGCUAUUUCUGAAUGGAAAAU